ensembl:lncRNA
GUGGAAACAGGUUUUGGUUGAAACUGCUAGUGAGCCGGGUGAAGCUAAGCUACAGAAAGUGAGAAUAAGUGGGUUACAGUGACGGAGAAAAAGGGAAACAAAAGAAGUAAAGCAGUGGCGGAAAAUAGGAAACCACUAAACUUGCUUUUAGUCGGAGUGGGGUUUUUGGAUCAAUACUAAAAUCUGGAAUGUGGUGGAGUUGGCUAUCUCUAUCUCGGUGACACCAACCACAUCUGAUCUAUGGAAUGCCAGCUAUAGGUUUUUCAUCACCAGGCCAUCACUUAAUCAGUUGCCAGCCCAAGCUCCAUAAAGACUUUUCUCAGUUAACUCAAAGGAGAGAAGGUCCAAAGAACCUUACUCUAUUAUAUAAAACAACCAUUUGGUGCAUAAAUAACAAUCUUGUAAUCCUGCUACCACAGAGUUAUUUCUGGGGUGGCGCAAGAAAUAAAGGCUUUUUACUGAAGACCGAUGGAGUGAUUGAUCCAUGUCGACUGACUUGUAGGGUGGACGGAGAAAAUUAAUUUACUUCAUCCUUGCUCCUGUUCUUUGACGAAGUCUCUCCCUUCUCAUAUAAAGCCUCUUCGGUGUCAUAAAUGUAUAAGAUUUGGUCAUGUGUCAAGUGUGUGCAGAAGGGAAGAGUAUCAUAUGCCAAAUUAUGUGAAAUGCUGCAACUGUGGAGGUGAACAUGCGCCUGAAUUCCUGGAGUGUCCUGUUAGGGUGAAGGAGAAUGAGGUGGCAAGGGUAAAGAGUGUCCUGCGUGUCUCCUAUCUGGAGGCGGUGAGAAGAUUGGAAGGAACGAGUGGCGGGGAAGAAACAAUGAUAGUAGAGCCACCACGACCAGUGACGGUUUCUCAUCAACUGAAGGCAUAGUGAAAUGCUACAUGUUAAAGGUGGACAUUGUUUAAUUCAUUGCAAUGGUCAUAACUGUACAGCACAAGCGGAGAAGUCUAAGAAAAUUGGAAUUAUUGUGAAAGCCGUUGAAUGUUUUUUGGGGUCUUUGUGAUUUCACAGCCGAGGUUGUGGAAGACACCCUGUCGGUGAAUGUUUUGCCAUCACAGGCUCCAAGAGCCUUGGUAGGGAUGUCAUUUUGGGUGGACUGUCAUUGAAGAAGUGGGAUGUGUUUUCUUAGUUGACAUGUUUCAUUUUGUAUGAUGUAAUUUUCCCCUUUUCCAGCAAUGUUUUUCUGUUUCCUAUUCAAUAUCAGGGAGAGGUAGUGGACCCCAUGAUGCCCA